rnacentral:misc_RNA from 1 species
UUUAGUUCUAUGAUUUUUUUUUUUGGAAGAGUUUUGAAUUUCCCCAAUACUUUAUAACCUAUGGAUGAUUUUGAGCUUCUAUUUAAAAACUUAAUUGAUGCAAGAAGAAAAUCUUGGGGGAUUGUUUUUCCUAGAAUGCGGGAACAAUUGACAUAAUGAUGGGUUUUCCAGGAUCUGGCUCUAGUUACUUGUAUGGAUUCUUUGAUCAAGCAUGGAAAGAAAAAAUGACCAAGGAUGAAGCUGAGGUAUGUAGCUGUUGAUGAAUGCAAAUGGAAAAAUUAGUUAAUACCCUGGAACCGAGAUGAAUGAUCCUGGAUGUUUUCAUUGGAAUGAUUUCCUAGUUAAUACUUCUGAUAUUGUGCCUACUCACAACUCUGUGCCACUACAGGAGUUAAGUUUAACUGGUUAAAGUGCAUUUAAAAUGUGUCUGCCAGUGUUUCUUUUCUUUCCUUUUGCUCCAUGAAAGACAGAGUGAAGGAAGAACAUGAUUUUCAACGUUCCUUGUUUGUAUGAAUCUGUUGAUUGGUUAGCGAAGUGACAGAAAAUAAAUAAAUAAAUAAUUUUGUGCUUAAGCGUUGAUGGUGACGGUAUUUGAUUCUUUCUUGCAGCAAUUA